UGGGGAAUUUUGGACAAUGGGCGAAAGCCUGAUCCAGCAAUGCCGCGUGUGUGAAGAAGGCCUUCGGGUUGUAAAGCACUUUUGUCCGGAAAGAAAUCCUUGGCUCUAAUACAGUCGGGGGAUGACGGUACCGGAAGAAUAAGCACCGGCUAACUACGUGCCAGCAGCCGCGGUAAUACGUAGGGUGCAAGCGUUAAUCGGAAUUACUGGGCGUAAAGCGUGCGCAGGCGGUUUGCUAAGACCGAUGUGAAAUCCCCGGGCUCAACCUGGGAACUGCAUUGGUGACUGGCAGGCUAGAGUAUGGCAGAGGGGGGUAGAAUUCCACGUGUAGCAGUGAAAUGCGUAGAGAUGUGGAGGAAUACCGAUGGCGAAGGCAGCCCCCUGGGCCAAUACUGACGCUCAUGCACGAAAGCGUGGGGAGCAAAACAGGAUUAGAUACCCUGGUAGUCCACGCCCUAAAACGAUGUCAACUAGUUGUUGGGGAUUCAUUUCCUUAGUAACGUAGCUAACGCGUGAAGUUGACCGCCUGGGGAGUACGGUCG
rnacentral:rRNA from 1 species